rnacentral:snoRNA from 1 species
GGGAUAUGAUGAGUGGCAAAAGCUCGCACUGAAAUCUGCGAGAGAGGUGUCCUCCCAGCCUGGUUACGACACUGGGGCACUCAACCUUUAACCAAUCUG